rnacentral:rRNA from 1 species
UAGGGAAUCUUCGGCAAUGGACGAAAGUCUGACCGAGCAACGCCGCGUGAGUGAAGAAGGUUUUCGGAUCGUAAAACUCUGUUGUUAGAGAAGAACAAGGACGUUAGUAACUGAACGUCCCCUGACGGUAUCUAACCAGAAAGCCACGGCUAACUACGUGCCAGCAGCCGCGGUAAUACGUAGGUGGCAAGCGUUGUCCGGAUUUAUUGGGCGUAAAGCGAGCGCAGGCGGUUUCUUAAGUCUGAUGUGAAAGCCCCCGGCUCAACCGGGGAGGGUCAUUGGAAACUGGGAGACGUGAGUGCAGAAGAGGAGAGUGGAAUUCCAUGUGUAGCGGUGAAAUGCGUAGAUAUAUGGAGGAACACCAGUGGCGAAGGCGGCUCUCUGGUCUGUAACUGACGCAGAGGCUCGAAAGCGUGGGGAGCAAACAGG